GACAAUUUAGUACAAGAUUGUCUAAUCAGGAAAGGCAAAGUGUUUGAACCUGGGAGUUUUACUCUAAUUCUGACAGAAAGAUCUCCACUAAUAGAAAUUAGUUGCGUCUCCUCUCAGUAAUAGAACAUAUUUACUGCCACCUCUUUUGAGAUAAUGAAAUGCUGCUUGAAUUACCCUCUCUCCCAGAUAAAUCUGAGCAGAAAGCAAACUCUCUAAGUUUCCUAUCAUUCUACAGAGCCUGACGCCGUAUCUAGUAAUGGCUAGGGAAGGGAUACAGGAAGGAAGCUAUUUAGGAUUUAUAGCACCACUUACUUCUAUGGGCAAAACCUUAGUCAUCAAAAGCAAGAAGACAGAGUUCUUGAGCCCUCCAGGACUUGGCUGUGACUCAGCAAGGAAGCCACAGAGAAACCUCCCUGUGUACACCUGUCAGAGAAGAGGCCAGUCGGAGGCAGUGGGAAGGUCCAAGGAUGAGGUUAUUUGCAAACCGUCCUGAAUGGAGAAAGCUCUCUGUUCCUUUGCCCACUCCCCCAUCCUCCCCACCUCAACUCUGGGAAAGAAGAGUUCUCCUCCUGGUCCUGGAGUCCUUCCUGUCCUCUUGCUGUGGACCCCUUUUCUCCAUGACAGACAUGCAUAGCUCUCUCCUAACAAAAAUGAAAUUGUCUGAUGGAAGUUGUCACCCCUUCAAGACAACCAUACUGCUGUCCUUCCCCUCACACUGCACAGAGAGCAAGGCCCAUCAGGAUAAGCUCGGGCUGGAGCCAGGUUCAAAUCUUCACUUUCUCUUCAGCUGUGUGUAUCUGGGGAGUGAUUUACCCUCUCUCCCCUCAGCUAAAACAGCAACAAAAAACAGUGAUAAUAAUGCCUGCAAGUGUGAUGAGGCUGAAAUGAGGUCAUGCAUUUCAGUGCCCAGCAAGAGGCCCGGGAUACGGAGGUAACCAAGGUUCCUCCUUUCAUGGCCAAAUUUGUUGGAAAUGUGGUUGGAACCUGCCUCCUCUCCUCCAUUACUCUCACCUUGCUGUUCAAGCUCUGGAGGGACUUCCAGUUCAUUGACCUUCUGCCCAUGUAACAAGGAUAAACACCGCCUCAGCCUAGAAAUCUUGCCUGCACUGGUUUCCAUGACACAGCAUUAUCUCGUGCAGUUUACACAGCAGCUCACAGAAUUCCUCCUCUGAUUUAGAGGCAAAGUAGACAGCCAGUGCUCUGCAUUCAGUGCAGAAGUCUGUGCUUCCUCAGAGCCCCUGCAGCCUUGGGGUUUGAUCCCUAGAACUCUGAAAAGCCUUAUU
rnacentral:lncRNA from 1 species